UACAAUUAUGAAUAAGGAACCAGAGGCUCAGAGACAGAAAGCACACUGCUUGGAGCCUGCAGCUGGGAAGGGGUGGAGGCAAAGCCAGGAGUGACUCCUCCCCCUGACUGUUCAGCUUGGCUCUGAAUAUUUUAAUGACUGACAUAAUGAGAAGGGGCCAUGAAAGAGACUCCACCAAGCCUCGCUGUGCAGCAUCUGAUACGUCAGUCUGGAGUCAUCACAGUCUCUAAGACAUCGAAGCUCACAAGGUAAGGCCACUCUCUCACUCUUUCCUCCAUCCUUACCCCCCACCCCAGCUUUUCUGUUCUGAAAUGACAGCCUCAGAGACUUCGGUGAUCUGGGUAAAAGGUAACUCGAGAGACACUUCGUUUAGGUUUAUAGUCAUGUGGUUUGCUGUUGCCUCUGUGGGUUCUCUGAUGAUUGCUAGUCAUCUCUGUGUGGAAAUUGCUUCCAAGAACAUUGGUAGC